rnacentral:rRNA from 1 species
UACGUAGGUGGCAAGCGUUGUCCGGAUUUAUUGGGUUUAAAGGGUGCGUAGGCGGCCCUGUAAGUCAGUGCUGAAAUAUCCCAGCUUAACUGGGAGGGUGGCAUUGAUACUGCGGGGCUAGGAGUACAGAUGAGGUAGGCGGAAUUGACGGUGUAGCGGUGAAAUGCUUAGAUAUCGUCAAGAACACCUAUAGCGAAGGCAGCUUACUAGGCUGUAACUGACGCUGAGGCACGAAAGUGUGGGGAUCAAACAGG